rnacentral:rRNA from 1 species
UACGGGGGGGGCAAGCGUUGUUCGGAAUUACUGGGCGUAAAGGGCUCGUAGGCGGCCAACUAAGUCAGACGUGAAAUCCCUCGGCUUAACCGGGGAACUGCGUCUGAUACUGGAUGGCUUGAGUUCGGGGAGAGGGAUGCGGAAUUCCAGGUGUAGCGGUGAAAUGCGUAGAUAUCUGGAGGAACACCGGUGGCGAAGGCGGCAUCCUGGACCGACACUGACGCUGAGGAGCGAAAGCCAGGGGAGCAAACGGG